AGAGCUCAAAUUUUGAAUCUGGCGUCUCUGGCGUCCGAAUUGUAAUCUAGAGAAGUGUUUUCCGUGACGGACCGUGCAUAAGUCUCCUGGAAUGGAGCGUCAUAGAGGGUGAGAAUCCCGUACAUGGCAUGGACUCCCGUUGCUCUGUGAUACACUCUCGACGAGUCGAGUUGUUUGGGAAUGCAGCUCUAAAUGGGUGGUAAAUGCCAUCUAAAGCUAAAUAUUGGCGAGAGACCGAUAGCGAA
rnacentral:rRNA from 1 species